GUCAAAAAAAGUACAUGCAAUCCUUUAUUACAAAACCAGCAAAAACAAAUGAUCUUAUACAGUAUAAUGAUAAAAAAAUAACAAAAGUAGCAUAGAGAUAGUGAAAUAAGCGUAACAAAUGAAAUAAGCUAAGUUAGCAUAACCAAAUUAGUGAUACAGCGGUCAACAAAAAAAAUCAUUCCCUGACUGACUAAAAACAAAGGGUGUACAAAGGGUGAAAAUGUGACUACACUCAUUUACUUCUGCCACCCGUGACCAUAACCCAUGGUAAAUAUGCAACGCAAAAUACAAUCUAGACAAAGUAGAUUAAUGGCUCCUACAUGCACUAUAAUGCUGUUGCAGAACAGCAAAUUUGACGUUUGCCAAUGAUAACAAACCUGAUUCUGAUAAGAAUGACUUUGAAUCACCCAGCCCUAUUUUGAUUGUUAGCUUCCUGCUCUCCUUAAAUAAUAAAACCUCCUUGUGUUGCCUUUACGGCAUUUGUUUAGUUUAUAAUAUUUUCGCUUUAGUAAUUCGUUUGUUAUCGUUUUCUAGUUAAGAUUGGUGUCGUUGUCUGUGAUAAAGCGCGGCUUGCGAUGACGCCAUGCCCGGUUUCGCCGCGCCUUGUGGGAAAAUACCGGUUUGGAGAAACGGGAAGGAGGGGAUCAGCGCGAAGCAACGCCGUAAGUUCAUGAGAUAAUCGAUAUGUUGAAUUAAAAAUGUUAACGCUGAUUCUGUUAACACUAAUGACGGUUGAUAAGGUUUAUGUUUUUGUUAUUUAAAGAGUUGCAGAUAGUUUGUGUUGAAGUGUAUUUAAAGCAGUCAAUGGCGUAGGUAGAUUCUGACUAUGUUGCACCUUAAUGUAAUGUAGUUGUUGUAGUUUUACUUUUGCAUGUAUUUAUGAUGUAAAUGUGAUAUCAAGAAGGAAACAAAUACUGUAUAUAUUUUGUAUUGUUUUAUCAACAGUUUUCACCAUACGUUAAUGUGGAAGAGUGAACAGUAAACGGUUAAUCUUACUGCGAUCCUGUCUUCGUUGAACUAAACACCGAGAUGCAGUUUACAAGACUAUCACGACACAAGGAAGACUGAAACGUAGAAUCGGCAAGGAUGGAACCCCAUUCUGAAAUAUCUAUGAGAUAAGGACAAUCUCUUUGCCUGCUUGUGAGGAUUCUUGCUGAGACAGCAAGGCGGGACCAGGUGAUGGAUGGCCGGUACCCUGCAAGUGAUGAUAAAAAGCAGGUCUGCUAAGACACAAGCAGACACACCAUGGGACACUUAAAGAGUAUUGUGCACCCACGUGAAGGUGGGGGUUUGAAGGAUCGAUUCGGGGGAAGGUGCGACCGGUGGGGACUUGUUUGUGUGUCCACCCUCGCCUGGGUGACAGGCCUACCACUGAAGAACGGUCGUGCCUGGCACGGGGUCUCAGUUGGUGACCAUAACAGGGCAGGAAGACAACGGAAGGUUCGUCGGCAACUGUGUCACCUCUCACUCUCUCUCUCUCCAACGUUACACCAGAACUUCCUCGACCUAAACUGAACUGAGCUCUGCAUCAUCGUAAGACUAUUCAUUUACCCCUAGACUUUGAAAGAGCUUGGUUUUUGAUUCCUAUUUCCACACUUCUGUAUAUAUCAUCGCUAACCUGUUUCAUUUAUUUGCAUUUUAUUUGUAUUGCUUAGUUUACUAUUAAAACACUAUUAGUUACAGUAAUACCGGACUCCAACGAGUUUUCCAUUUCUGCUAGUUCAGUAACCCAGUCACGGGGUACGUGACACUAUUCACAGCAACCUUUGCUCCUGCCAGAUUUACAAACUCACUCUACUCCACAUUGAUGAAUAUAGUGGAGUGCAAAGGUUUUAGGCACCAUAGCUGUAAAUAUGUGUGUCAGACUGUCUUACAAUACUGUGGCUCCUUAAUUGCCAGAUUGUAUGCAAUCAUUUAGUAGCAAUUCUUCCAGAUGCUGGGAAGACUGAAACCAUCAUAAUUUGUUCCCUAUCGCAAAUCUUAUUCCUGUUUUGAUGUACUCUUGGCCAACCUGUUUUCUACCCCAUGCAGACAUCUAGAAUGAGGUCAUCCUGAAUUCUGCUCUCUGUGCCCCAUUCCAUCAAUCCUUGCCAAAUAACAAUAGUGGAUCUAAGUUAGCAACUUAGCAUUUUUGUUUUCAAGACACAAUAUGGCUCUCUAGCUAUGCAAUCUCCUCCAACUCUAUAUCCUUUGUAAACAGUAAUUAUUUUACAAUAUGCUACAUGUUCUUUCCUUAUUUCAGCUCAGGGAUUUGCAAACAAAAGGAGUCAACACGUGUUCAAGGCCACAAGAAAACACUUUAUUAGAACUAGCACAAAUGCAAUACAGAAAGAAAAACAAAUCUCAAAAGCAGUUAAGUAGUAGCAGUACAGAAAUCAAAAUAAUAUUUAUUGUCCUGCAAAUGAACUGACCUGCGAAAUGCCAACAGACUUACAUGCAGUCUCUCCCUCUCCCCCUCUAAUUCUGACUCGACAUGACUCUCCCAACAUACUGUUCUCUAUCUCAGCACUUGUCACCAGCCGUGACCUAGCCUGGGACAAAACUCUCUUCCCCUGCACCUAGGAGGUGCCCCUUUAUACCCUUCAAAGCCCCUUACACUGGUACUUUUCUGUGCAUUUGGUACCUGGCCAUGCAUAAUUACCUCACUUUCCCAUGAAAAACAUGUUUUUCACCAUCUUAUGACUAUAGACAUAAUCCCUUAACUUUCUCAAAUCAUUGCUGUGGGUUGAUUCUCUUGUACUUUCUCAAAACAAUCACACCCCAAGCUAACAGUCUUACAGACUUCCUUUUUAUUUUAGCAUAUACCAAGGAGGAAUCACAUUUAACUUUUUCCUUACAUCCUCAUGAGAUAUCAGUCUUCCCCUUAUUCUGGCCUCUUACCCUAACAUUUACACAGUUCAUAAUGCUUAGCUGCCCAAGUCCUAUACUGGAAUUGCCUCUCUAUAUUUAUCUCUCAUUCCUCUAAAAACAUUCACUUCAUUUUUGUUUUAAUUAUAUUUGUUUUCCAUGGUUGGAAUCUACAUGUGGGUAUUUAAAUAAGUCACAGAAUGCUGGUUAGUUUCUUUUUCACUGGUUGGAUUGUGGAGAUACACUGAUAGGAGGUUGACAACUCAUGCAUUUUUUUACCAGGAGUGGUCAUGCUGACUGACCCUUGCAGUGGAACUUCACAGGAUGAGGUCAUUUUUCUGUGGGACUGCUGGUUUGAAAUGGGACACUCCUAUUCCGAGGCAGCGGCCAGAGUAACUUCAUUCUGUUCUGAGUUUUAGAUCAUAGAUUCCCUACCAAGGUUAUCUGUUUUUAAGUUUCUCUAAUAUCUCUCAAAACAAUAAUGCUCAUAUUAUCUGCUACUGAAAUCAUGAUCAAUUGCUUAUUAUCCUAAUGUUCUGACCAACCUAUCACUUUUGACCCAACAUAGACCUGAGUUGAUCCAAAACAAUGUAAAGUGUAUAUCCUAACUUGCAUUGCAUCCCAUCCCACGAAUCCAAUGCUUGCUGGCUUGUAUAGCUUUCUGGGUGGUAACACUUAAGGGUUUAAAAUUCUCAUUACAUCAUGGUAACAGCCUUCCUAUCAGUGUAUCUCUACAUAGAUCUAGUUGCAGCCUCUUGGUGUAUUACUGAUUUUAAUUAUUGAAAGAGGUUAUGCACCAUAUUGGCACCAACAAUAUCAGAGGAAUAGAGAUGAGUUCCUGCGAACUGAAUACAAGGAGUCGAAGGACAGGAUCCUUUGGGUUGUAAUCUCAGGAUUACUCCCUGAGAUGUGCACAAUAGAUGGAUAAGUCAAAUAAUAUAUGGCUGCAGAGCUGGUGCAGGUGGGACAGUGUGACAUUCCCUCAGUACUGUCCCUCUAACUGUGUGAUAUUCCCUCAGAGACGGAGACGGAGGAAUUGAAAGAAGGGGAUGAUAUUUUUACAAGUGGCAGGGUGGGAAGAAGUAUAGUCCAGGUAGCUGUGAGAGUCUGUGGGUUCAUAACAGACAUCAGUAGAUAAGCUGUCUACAGAGAUAGAUAGAUCGAGAUAGGGGAGGGAGGUGUUGGAAGUGGACCAGUUGAAUCUGAGGGCAGGGUGGAAAUUGAAGACAAAGUUGAUGAAGUUGACAAGCUCCACGUGAGUACAGGAAGCAACACCAAUGUAGUUGUCGAUGUAGCGAAGGAAAGGUUGGGGAGUGAUAUCAGUGUAGGCUUGGAACAUAGACCGUUGCACAUAGCUGACAAAAAGGCUGGCAUAGCUGGGACCCAUGCGAGUGCCCAUGGCUACACAUUUUGUUUGAAGGAAGUGGGAGGAGCCGAAGGAGAAAUUAAAAGUGAAGACAAGUUCCACCAGACAGGGGAGUGGUGAUGGAGGGGAACUGGUUGGGUCUAGUGCCUAGAAAUAAACGGGAGAGCUUUGGGGUCUUCCUGAUGGGGGAUGGAGGUGUAUAGGGACUGGGCAUCCAUAGUGAAAAUAAGAUGAUCGGGUCUAGGGAACUUGUCAGGCACAAGCAGCUGGCAACUAUGAAUAAACAGUCAUUGUUUUGGGCCAAGGCAUUCAUCAGGAUUGGACAGGAAGUGGGGAGAGGUCAGAAUAAGAAGGUGGGAGAAGCGGAAGGAAUUUCACCUGUAUGGUAUUCUCCUCUUUGAUACAGAAGUGUUGGGACACAUUGAGAUGUCAUUCAGAUUUGCCAUCUGAUUGAAAUAAUUCCUUAUUUGUGUUGGAGCCUACGACUUUUGAAUGCCUGGCCUAGUCAAAGCACUGAUUUGCCAAAUGAAGCAAGAUGACUUGUGGCUAUUGAGUGCCACAAAGGAUGCAUUUUAUCUGUAACCAGGUGACCAUCGAAUGCUAUUCAUUAUCGUUAAAAAGUGUACUCAGGCAUUCAUCCGGGUAAUGCUAGAACAGUUGUCUGUGCCUUUAAGUGGAGAUGGUGAUGUCAUUAUGCACACAUGAGAUAGUGGGGAGACCCUUUUAUUUUCUGCUGCAGGAGCUGGUGGGGCAUUGGAAUCAAGUUCCCCCAGAGGUGCUGGGCUUGGUGAGGAAAGGUGAGCAUUAAUUUACAAUAUCCACGUGAAUUCAUUUAUGCUUGCUGGCAACUUGAGAAUGUCGGUAAUUUGACAUGUUUUACAUGUGGAUGCUUUAGAUUUUCAUGAGUAAAGAACUCAACAUUGGAUAGCGUGGCUUGCAAAGUUCCUCACCGGCCAAGUAGAUCAGUCUUCCUGUAAUUUAACUACCGGGCAAUAUCUUGUAAAAGUUGUGCCAAAGUGUACCUUCUGUCUAACUUUAUUGUAUCAUGACUGAUUGUGCACGUGACUGUGUAACAUGAAUGUUUAGUCUCCGUUCGGGGGUUCAGCGCCUGUGUACUAAAAAGUAGUAGACAUCUUAGAUGAGAUGUAUUCGCUUACAUUUUUCGUUGCUGUGUAUAAGAUACAGGGUUGGGGAGAUUCUAAUGUUGUUUGUAUUGUGUUUCUUCAGAAUUGCCACUACUGUAUUAGUACUGUAAUAGUUCUGUGUGAUUUUCUUUGUAUUUUUAUACUGCAUACGCGAUUGGUCAAGACUCAAGUGUGUGGAUUGAAGGUUAAACGGAGAUUGUAACAGCAGGUCCUCUUUGUAAAGUCGUUCGUUUUGUUUUAAGACCCUCUUCUGGCACUUAAACAUCUAAAACAGAUAAAGGAAU